AACCACAGCCUCACUGCUGAGAAGAUUUCUCUGGAAGCAGAUCUGGUUGAUAUGAAAUGUUCAUUAAGACAAAAAGAAGAAGAACUGACAUCACUCACUGAAAGCCUGAUUGAAACCAAGACAUUAUUUGAACUUGAGCUCCAACAAAUUAG